UGAGCAAUCUGCCCCUUGCUCUGGGAUAACCCCGGGAAACCGGAGCUAAUACCGGAUACUCCGGCUGGAUCGCAUGGUCCGGCCGGGAAAGGUCCGCCGGAGAGGGAUGGGCCCGCGGCCUAUCAGCUUGUUGGUGGGGUCACGGCUCACCAAGGCUACGACGGGUAGCUGGUCUGAGAGGACGACCAGCCACACUGGAACUGAGAUACGGUCCAGACUCCUACGGGAGGCA
rnacentral:rRNA from 1 species